AUUGAACGCUGGCGGCAGGCCUAACACAUGCAAGUCGAGCGAGCGGCGGACGGGUGAGUAAUGUAUGGGGACUGCCCGAUCGAGGGGGAUAAAUACUGGAAACGGUGGCUAAUACCGCAUACUAUCGGAUAACCAAUAUGGGAUUAGCUAGUAGGUGGGGUAAAGGCUCACCUAGGGGGCGAUCUCUAGCUGGUUGGAGAGGUGGAACAGCCACACUGGGACUGAGCCACGGCCCAGACUCCUCCGGAGGCAGCAGUGGGGAUUAUUGCACAAUGGGCGAAAGCCUGAUGCAGCCAUGCCCCGUAUAGGUAGAAGGCCUUAGGGUUGUAAAGUACUUUCAGCGGGGAGGCGUUACCCGCAGAAGAAGCACCGGCUAACUCCGUGCCAGCAGCCGCGGUAAUAC
rnacentral:rRNA from 1 species